CAGACGAACGCUGGCGGCGUGCUUAACACAUGCAAGUCGAACGAUGAUGCCCAGCUUGCUGGGUGGAUUAGUGGCGAACGGGUGAGUAACACGUGAGUAACCUGCCCCUGACUCUGGGAUAAGCGUUGGAAACGACGUCUAAUACUGGAUAUGAUCACUGGCCGCAUGGUCUGGUGGUGGAAAGAUUUUUUGGUUGGGGAUGGACUCGCGGCCUAUCAGCUUGUUGGUGAGGUAAUGGCUCACCAAGGCGACGACGGGUAGCCGGCCUGAGAGGGUGACCGGCCACACUGGGACUGAGACACGGCCCAGACUCCUACGGGAGGCAGCAGUGGGGAAUAUUGCACAAUGGGCGAAAGCCUGAUGCAGCAACGCCGCGUGAGGGAUGACGGCCUUCGGGUUGUAAACCUCUUUUAGUAGGGAAGAAGCGAAAGUGACGGUACCUGCAGAAAAAGCACCGGCUAACUACGUGCCAGCAGCCGCGGUAAUACGUAGGGUGCAAGCGUUGUCCGGAAUUAUUGGGCGUAAAGAGCUCGUAGGCGGUUUGUCGCGUCUGCUGUGAAAUCCCGAGGCUCAACCUCGGGCUUGCAGUGGGUACGGGCAGACUAGAGUGCGGUAGGGGAGAUUGGAAUUCCUGGUGUAGCGGUGGAAUGCGCAGAUAUCAGGAGGAACACCGAUGGCGAAGGCAGAUCUCUGGGCCGUAACUGACGCUGAGGAGCGAAAGCAUGGGGAGCGAACAGGAUUAGAUACCCUGGUAGUCCAUGCCGUAAACGUUGGGCGCUAGAUGUAGGGACCUUUCCACGGUUUCUGUGUCGUAGCUAACGCAUUAAGCGCCCCGCCUGGGGAGUACGGCCGCAAGGCUAAAACUCAAAGGAAUUGACGGGGGCCCGCACAAGCGGCGGAGCAUGCGGAUUAAUUCGAUGCAACGCGAAGAACCUUACCAAGGCUUGACAUACACCGGAAACGGCCAGAGAUGGUCGCCCCCUUGUGGUCGGUGUACAGGUGGUGCAUGGUUGUCGUCAGCUCGUGUCGUGA
rnacentral:rRNA from 1 species